AACAUUUCCUCUUCUGAGCCGCGAGGGAAAAUAAAAGGUCGAGGGAAACACAGGACGAACGUCCCGAAUCCCGUAGGGAUGCAGCGCGGGGGAAUUGCCGUGCCGAGACCCUUUGCCGGAAUUCUCAGACAAACACUGGCUGUUUCCAAGGGACUGCCUCGAGUUGCCAUCUUUUCUUCCUGGGAAGAAUCCUCUUCCCUGUGUGCUGAGCAGAGAUAAUAAAUCAGCCUGUUGUGGUUUUUCUGCCUGCAUAAACCCAGAAUUGGCCUCCUGUGACCCCCGAGGAGCCGGGGCCGGCGCUUCCAGCUCGGAGCGGCGCAGGCGGGUGGCUCAGCUAAUGCCCCCGCUGCUGGUUUGGCUCAGCCCUCCGCCGGCGCGGCCGCUGGACCGCAGCGCGGCAGCAGAUGCUCGAUGCCCUGCAGUUAGAUGCCCUUCCAGUUGACAAGACCAACCGCGAUGGCGCAGCGCCGAUGGCCCAGCAGGUUGCCCAGAAGUCCGCGAUGGUCUCAGCAACGCAACCCAAGCUGCAGUUCCCCUCCACAGCCAGCCUGCCAGCCCUCGGGGCUGCUCUUCGCUCCACACCCGCCCCACAGCCUUUUCCAGCAUCUCCCCCAUGUGUUUUCCUUUCCUCUGCCUGUUCCGCGAUGUGAUUUACAGCCGGCGUGCGGCUGCUCCCCUCUGGGCUGUGCCGCUGCCGUGCCCCGUGCGGCAGCGUCCUUAAGCCUGGUGGCCCUCGGUGCCCCCUCCUCAAGGUGUUUUGCGGUAGGGGUGGGUGAGGAAGGCUGUGCCGCUGGCCGUUGUUUUGCCCUGCCUAUAGAUAAUUAGAAAUGCCACCGUUAUGCAGCCUUUAAUUAAUUGACAGGAAAGAAAAGAAAGCUGGGUUGCCCUGAAGGAACUUAUCACAGAUAUUAAAAUGGUAUCAAAGAAGUUCUGCAGCUCUUUAAAGGGUGCUUUAAAUUAUGGGACCAAGCCCAGAGUGGGAAAAAUGAG